GUGCGGGCCGGAGUGCGGAGCUAACGGCGCCACGGAAGUUUGUGUCCUCCCUCUCCGGUCCGCGUCCCUCCCUGGGCCGGGCUGGCAUUCUUGCCUGCCCCUUCCCACAUGGCGCUGCUCCGACGCCCGACGGUGUCCACUGAUUUGGAGAAUGCUGACACUGGAGUUAAUUCUAAAGCUAAGAGUCAUGUGACAAUCAGACGGGCAGUUUUAGAAGAAAUUGGAAAUAGAGUUACAACCAGAGCUACACAAGUGGCUAAGAAAGCUCAGAACACCAAAAUACCUGUUCAGCCCGCCAAAACAAAUGUCAACAAACAACUGAAACCUACUGCUUCUGUGAAACCGGUACAGAUGGAAAUGUUGGCUCCAAAGGGUCCUUCCCCCCGACAGGAGGAUAUCUCCAUGAAGGAAGAGAAUCUCUGCCAAGCUUUCUCUGAUGCCUUGCUCUGCAAAAUCGAGGACAUUGAUCAUGAGGACUGGGAGAACCCUCAGCUCUGCAGCGACUACGUUAAGGAUAUCUACCAGUAUCUACGGCAGCUUGAGGUUCUGCAAUCCAUAAAUCCACACUUCUUAGAUGGAAGAGAGAUAAACGGACCAUGCGCUCCAUCCUGGUGGACUGGCUGGUGCAAGUCCACUCCAAGUUUAGGCUUCUUCAGGAGACUCUGUACAUGUGCGUCGCCAUCAUGGACCGAUUUUUACAGGUUCAGCCGGUUUCUCGUAAGAAGCUUCAGCUGGUUGGGAUUACAGCUCUGCUCUUGGCUUCCAAAUAUGAGGAGAUGUUUUCUCCAAAUAUUGAAGACUUCGUUUACAUCACAGACAAUGCUUAUACCAGUUCCCAAAUCCGAGAGAUGGAAACACUGAUUUUGAAAGAACUGAAAUUUGAGUUGGGUUGACCUUUGCCACUACAUUUCUUAAGGUGGGCAUCAAAAGCCGGGGAGGUCAAUGUGGAACAGCACACUUUAGCCAAAUAUCUGAUGGAGCUGACUCUCAUUGACUAUGACAUGGUGCAUUAUCACCCUUCAAAGGUGGCAGCGGCUGCAUCCUGCCUGUCCCAGAAGGUUCUGGGCCAAGGAAAAUGGAACUUAAAGCAGCAGUAUUAUACUGGAUACACAGAAAAUGAAGUAUUGGAAGUCAUGCAGCACAUGGCCAAAAAUGUAGUGAAAGUUAACGAAAACUUAACAAAAUUCAUCGCCAUCAAGAAUAAGUAUGCAAGCAGCAAACUCCUGAAGAUCAGCACAAUUCCUCAGCUGAACUCAAAAGCCGUCCAAGAGCUUGCCUCCCCUCUGAUGGGACGGUCCUAG